rnacentral:lncRNA from 1 species
CUGGAGGAGUUGUGGAGGAGCCGGACGGCGGCGACGGGUGGGACGGGGUCGGUGCGCCGUGUGGCGGCGAGUGGUAGGAUGGCGUGCUGGAGCUUAAGGGUGGUGUCGGGUAGGAUGGCGUGGUGGGUGACCCGUGGGAAGGUGGCGAGUGGUAUGACGGGGUGGUGGCGCUCGAUGGCGGCGAGGGGAAGGACGGCGUGGUGGUGGGUGAGCCCUGAGGUGGCGGCGUGUGGUAGGACGGGGUGGUGGCGCUCGACGGCGGCGAGGGGUAUGACGGAGUGGUGGAGCCCGUAGGCGGCGAUGGGGUGGUGGAGCCCUUGGGUGGCGAGUGGUAUGAGGGGGUGGUGGCGCUCGACGGCGGCGACGGGUAGGAAGGAGUGGGAGUAGCAGACGAUGGCGGCGGGCUCCCUAUGAAGGUGCCUUUCGGAGGCGACGAGACCGGCGUGGGCGGCCGCUUGCCGGUUCCGUGGCCACCUCUUCCGCCGCCUCCCGGCGUUGGGGUGUAGCCGCCCGGGGCUGCCUGGCAUUGCGCCUUGCUGCAGUCGAACGGGUGCGCCGCGGCGGCCGCGCACUGCGACGGCGGGCGCUGCGCCGGCGCGCCGGGAAUGCAAUUCCAGGCGCCGUCAGCGGUGGCCUUGGCGCAAGGCGGGCGAGAGGUGAAGAAGUUGUCGGUGUAGGUGAAGUUCCUGAGGCUGGCAAGCGCGCAGACGCCGGCCGGCACCGCGCCCUCGAAGCGGUUGCGUGCGACGUCGAGCUCCUCGACAGCAGC